GUAAACUAUUUCAAAUAUGCAGACUUCAUUUUGUUUCUUAUUUACAGCUUGCUUACAACAUGGCUGGAAAACUUAUGAUCCUUUGCUUCUUGUUGGCGGUAGUCACAAUUGCAACUUGCAAACCGCGAAAUCCUUUUGCAGGUCUUUCUCAGCGAGAUAUUUUGAUGCUCGGAGAGGAAAAGCGCGGUGGUGGUUGUCCAAGGAUGAGUUACUGUUCCACCUCCUCUAACUGUCAGGGUUCAGUCACCGAUCAAAACGGAGAAGAGGUUGGACUUUUUCUUGUUACCCCUGGAACUUGUGGUUCAGGAUUUAAUACGGUGUGCUGCACGGAGUUCAUGUACUAUGGUGGUCUUUAGAGUUCAGGUAGACCAGCCAACACAGCAAGCUGCAAGAAGUCAUAUUUACAUCAAAAAUAGCCAGUCUCUCCUUAGGUGUGAUUAUCAAAUCUCUAAAAGUCUCGAUUCGUUUUUUUUGUAAUUUCAUCAUGAGAGUAUAAUAAAGACUGCAUUAAACUGGA